rnacentral:rRNA from 1 species
UUGAACGCUGGCGGCAUGCUUUACACAUGCAAGUCGAACGGUAACAGGCCUUCGGGUGCUGACGAGUGGCGAACGGGUGAGUAAUGCAUCGGAACGUGCCCAAUCGUGGGGGAUAACGUAGCGAAAGUUACGCUAAUACCGCAUACGCCCUGAGGGGGAAAGCAGGGGAUCUUCGGACCUUGUGCGAAUGGAGCGGCCGAUGUCAGAUUAGCUAGUUGGUGGGGUAAAGGCCCACCAAGGCGACGAUCUGUAGCUGGUCUGAGAGGACGACCAGCCACACUGGAACUGAGACACGGUCCAGACUCCUACGGGAGGCAGCAGUGGGGAAUUUUGGACAAUGGGGGCAACCCUGAUCCAGCCAUUCCGCGUGAGUGAAGAAGGCCUUCGGGUUGUAAAACUCUUUCGGCAGGAACGAAACGGUGAGCUCUAACAUAGCUUGCUAAUGACGGUACCUGAAGAAGAAGCACCGGCUAACUACGU